UGAAAGAUGAGGGUUGAGCUCCGUGUCUAGCAAAAUAUUCGCUGAUUUGAAGUUUUUAUGGACGAGGGACGGCGAGCAAACUUCGUGCAAGUACUCUAGUGCCCUUGCAGUACCGAGUGCUAUCUUGACUCGUGUGUUCCACGUCAAUGGUUUGGUAUAUUCAUCUGAGAGGUGGAGGAGGUCAUGCAGAGAGCCAUUCUUCUGAAACUCAUAUACCAGCAAGUGCUGCCCAUGCUCAGAACAGUACCCUAUCAGCUCAGAUAGAUUUGGGUGAUGCAAGCGGGCGAUAUUCGAAACCGUCUCAAUGAAGUCCUCGGUUGAUUGAUUCGAAUAAUUUAUUUUCUUCACAGCCAGAACCUUUCCAUCAUGAGACUGAGCCCGAUAAACACGCCCAAUCGAUCCUUCACCUAUGAUAUUGUCCGG
rnacentral:misc_RNA from 1 species